UGCUAGGUGGCUGAGAUAUAAGCGGUAGACUGUAGAUCUAUUAACGAGUUAAAUUUCCCUUGU
rnacentral:tRNA from 1 species